rnacentral:rRNA from 1 species
AUCGAACGCUGGCGGCAUGCCUUACACAUGCAAGUCGAACGGCAGCGCGGACUUCGGUCUGGCGGCGAGUGGCGAACGGGUGAGUAAUACAUCGGAACGUACCCUGUUGUGGGGGAUAACUAGUCGAAAGAUUAGCUAAUACCGCAUACGACCUGAGGGUGAAAGUGGGGGACGGCAAGGCCUUACGCAGCAGGGGCGGCCGAUGUCUGAUUAGCUAGUUGGUGGGGUAAAGGCCAACCAAGGCGACGAUCAGUAGCUGGUCUGAGAGGACGAUCAGCCACACUGGGACUGAGACACGGCCCAGACUCCUACGGGAGGCAGCAGUGGGGAAUUUUGGACAAUGGGGCAACCCUGAUCCAGCAAUGCCGCGUGUGUGGAGAAGGCCUUCGGGUUGUAAAGCACUUUUGUCCGGAAAGAAAUCGCGCUGGUUAAUACCUGGCGUGGAUGACGGUACCGGAAGAAUAAGCACCGGCUAACUACGUGCCAGCCGCCGCAGUAA